UGAUGAUGAUGAUGAUGAUGAUGAUGAUGAUGAUGAUGAUAAAUGGUUUUAAAUUCAACCACACAUAUUUACAUCUGCUCUCAUUACCACCAUCAUCAUUAAUAUCAACAUCAUCAUCAUCAUUAACA
rnacentral:pre_miRNA from 1 species